GGGCCCGUAGCUCAGCGGUAGAGCACACCGCUCAUAACGGUUUGGUCGCAGGUUCGAUCCCUGCCGGGCCCACCA
rnacentral:tRNA from 1 species